GUAGGGAAUAUUGGGCAAUGGGCGAGAGCCUGACCCAGCCAUGCCGCGUGCCGGAUGAAGGCCUUCUGGGUUGUAAACGGCUUUUCUCAGGGAAGAAAACGGGUCUGCGGACCACACUGACGGUACCUGAGGAAUAAGCACCGGCUAACUCCGUGCCAGCAGCCGCGGUAAUACGGAGGGUGCAAGCGUUGUCCGGAUUUAUUGGGUUUAAAGGGUGCGUAGGUGGCCUGUUAAGUCCGGGGUGAAAGCCCACAGCUCAACUGUGGAACUGCCCUGGAUACUGGCGGGCUUGAGAGUAGUAGAGGGUGGCGGAAUAGACGCUGUAGCGGUGAAAUGCAUAGAUAGCGUCUAGAACCCCGAUUGCGAAGGCAGCUGCCUAUGCUACAUCUGACACUGAGGCACGAAAGCGUGGGGAGCGAACAGGAUUAGAAACCCUAGUAGUCC
rnacentral:rRNA from 1 species